CAGAAAAAAAAAAGUAUUUUAAAAUGUUUGUUCGAAAUAAAAUAUCGAGAUGCAAUCGUGGAAUCGUUUUGGAUGGAAGGACGUCAAAAUGCCCUCGCCCGAACAGCCAAAAAGUUUUUGUGGUGUGGAGCCUGGAGCGAAAAUCGGAGCUAAUCAUCAAUUAUCUUGGGUUCGGUGGUUGGCGAUGGUUGUGUUAUUCCACAGAAGUCGAAUAUAGAGAAAGUUCUUGUUAAAAAAGCUCAUGGGGAAAAUGAUGAAACAGAAAAAAUCGGAGUCAAAGCUUACAUCCUCAACAACGACACAGAAGAGCUCUUCGCAUCCGAUUCAGAGAUGAAACACACAGAUGAAACAUAAAAAAUCGGAGUCAAAGCUUACAUCCUCAACAACGACACAGAAGAGCUCUUCGCAUCCGAUUCAGAAGAUAAAUUACCAACGCAAUCGACGAAAACAGAAAUUCCAAAAAUGAUGAGACUAUCACAUCUAAUCAAUGCGGACGAAAGCGAUUACAAUUCAACAACCAGUGACGAAGAUGAUGAUUCACACCAAGGCUCUCCAAUACCUGAUGAUGCAAAUAGUAAUCACCUUGUACCAAUAGAAACUAUAUUCCUGCUAAUCAUAGCGUGGCUCCUUUCUUGCAUGCACCUCAUCUACAGUAUUUUUAUCCGAAGUCUUGGACUCUUUGGUUCGUGGAAUUCAACUCAAAUCCAAUCCGGAUUUCUUGAUUCUUGAAAUCAACUCAUCUCGCUAUGCCUACAAUAUGUCUUUAAAGGAAGUAAAUUUCAAUAUCGUCAAAGCGGUAUUCAGUUUAGAUCCAAUUAAAGAGGCAACAACAACAAAUGUCUUAAGUGCCAACAAUCAGGUAUUGGGUCGCUUGGGUAUGGUUGUUUCAAAUAAUAUAAAAAGCGAUGAUACUAUGUUGGAUUGUUUGAAGGCAAUUCAGGUAAGUCGUGUGUGAAGUUUUUGUAUUCUUAA